CGCCUGGGGAGUACGGGUGAGGUAACGGCUCACCAAGGCGACGACGGGUAGCCGGCCUGAGAGGGUGACCGGCCACACUGGGACUGAGACACGGCCCAGACUCCUACGGGAGGCAGCAGUGGGGAAUAUUGCACAAUGGGCGCAAGCCUGAUGCAGCAACGCCGCGUGAGGGAUGACGGCCUUCGGGUUGUAAACCUCUUUUAGCAGGGAAGAAGCGAAAGUGACGGUACCUGCAGAAAAAGCACCGGCUAACUACGUGCCAGCAGCCGCGGUGACACGUAGGCACCAAGCGUUGUCCGGAUUUAUUGGGCGUAAAGAGCUCGUAGGCGGUUCAGUUAGUCGGGUGUGAAAACUCUGGGCUCAACCCGGAGACGCCACUCGAUACUGCUGUGACUAGAGUGCGGUAGGGGAGAUGGGAAUUCCUGGUGUAGCGGUGGAAUGCGCAGAUAUCAGGAGGAACACCAAUGGCGAAGGCACAUCUCUGGGCCGUAACUGACGCUGAGGAGCGAAAGCGUGGGGAGCGAACAGGAUUAGAUACCCUGGUAGUCCACGCCGUAAACGGUGGGUGCUAGCUGUGGGCCACAUUCCACGUGGUCCGUGACGAAGUUAACACAUUAAGCACCCCGCCUGGGGAGUACGG
rnacentral:rRNA from 1 species